AGAGGUAGAAAAUGGAGAUAUAGGGGCACAUGAGUGAGCUUAUUGCACACUGCAGACCAGUGCACUGGUUCCCAACCUUCUCCAUCCAGAGUCCACUUUAUGUGAUUUCAUGCCCCAGGCCUGCCAACAAGGGCCUGAUGGAGACCAUGGCAGAAGAGCCUGUUCUGUUUGGGCUGGCGACUUGACGGGUGUCUUAUGAUCUCAAACGAGAUUGGAAACUGGUCUGGAAUGACAGGAAUACACACUGCUAGGCAGCUACUCAGGACCUGGCUGCUGAAUGCCCUCACCGUGGUGCAUCAGACCCCACUGCUCAUGCCUGUAAGGAGGGCUCCAACCCUUUGGGGCGCCUCUCACCUCCGGUCCCAUGAUCUGUCCUCAGCCACCCUUCAGGAACUCCCUGUUCUUGAAUGUGUGCCAGCUGCUCCCAGAGAGUCUGAGAACCACACUAGACCUGCACUGCCUCGGCCAUGGCUUUCUUUCCACUGAAAAGAGGAUGGAAUCUUGUGAGAGCUUAGCACAGGAAGCAGGAUGCGAGCAAGGCCGGAACCUCCCCUGGGAUUUCUGCUGAGACCGGGCUGAGCCACAGGUCAGAGGCGGGAAGUGCACCUCCACUGCCUGGAGAGGGGAGAACAGACCCCUCUGUCAGUUCCUGCUGAUAAUAAUGCAGCCUGCGUGGGCAGACGUUGCGCAUCCCCUGGCUGGAUAGAACACGUGUCUCAAUGCCUUGCUUGUUCUUCACUUUUGUGUAGCAUGUGGCUUGGCAGGCGAGAGGGGAUUAGGAGGCCUGUUGACAGAAAUCCUGGUAGAAUUCCAUGUUUGAGAAACCCAUCCAAAGGUGAUAGCUUUGGGGCUUCAUUAGGGUGGUUAUCAGAUCCAGAAAUGUUUUCCAGAGUGUGGACCCCUCCCUCCACGUACCUGUUCCUAUCUCUCUAAUCUCAUGAAAGUGGGGGAAGGGCUAGAAACUCUUUCUCAAAAGAGACUUCCGAGAAAUAGCUCCCAGACUAAACACUUUGCUCUGUGUUCACUUAUGUACUUGUUUUCCAAAAUCUGCCAAUUAAAAGAAAGAAAAUUGUAUGUGUUCAGACAAGUAGGGACACACAGGCUGAUGGGGUCAGAGGGCCACUGAUGCUGAGGUUGCUUAGAGACUGGGAAGGUGGCUUAGGAUGGGGUGAGCCCCUGCUUCUCAGGGGUGCUGGCCUGGCCUAUUUACUCCAGAACACUUAGGCCCAUAGAGGCCAGGAUUUUGGGGCCGCUGUGACAAAUAGCCUUGGGAAGGUCAUGCAGAUGCAUCAGUGGCAUGCAAAACCUGCCGUGAGUCUUGGAUAUAGUUGGUCUUCAAAAUAUGAUUCCUGAACAUAUACCAUUGCCUUUUAGUGGGCUUUUUGUUUUUUUUAACCAAUGCAGAACUAUGCCUUUGUUUCAUUCAUUCAUACAUAUGGCAUACAUGAAAGAAUAGGUGUCUUACUCUAUCUUGCUCCUAAUAUUGAGUCAGAGGAACUCCGAGGACAAGGUCUCUCAAAAGAGUGGUUCCCCCAGGUUCAUGGACAUAUUAUUUCUGUGCACAAAAUGAAUUAAUGAAUGUGCCUAAGACAAGGCCAGCCAUCUAGAGAGUAUUACCUUGUUCCUCAUAAGCUUCCUUUUGACUUUUGAAAAACAUGCUGCUUGUCUAGUAAGCAGUAAGUACUCACUCUCCUCUACAAAGGAAGCUAUAAAAACUGACUAGCCUCAAGGUGAUUUUUCCCUCUCUUGCCCUGGGAAUACAAGCUCCUUUAUCUCAAACAUCUCUGGUCAGUUGAGGCUCACUUGAUGUGCUGUAGCAGGGAGAGGUCAGGGCUGGAGAUGUAAUGUUGGAAAUCAUUAGUGGUUUUAAAGCCAUGAGAUGGGUGAGAUCACCAGGGGGAGUAGAUACAGAGAGAAAAGAGAAGAGGUCUAAAGUCCAGGGGCACUGUAACACUAAGUAUUUGGGGAGGUGGGAAGAAACAAACAAAGGAGACCAGGAAGGAGUGGUCAGAGAAGUAGGUGCAAAAUGAGGCACGUGGGGUGUCAUGGAAGCCAGAGGAAGAUAAUAUUUCAAGGACGCUGGAGGGGUCAACAGUGAGGAAUGUUGCUGAGAGAUGUAGUCAGCUAAGGGUAAGCUCUGCCACUUUUUUAACAAUGUGAAGUUGUUGGUGACCUUGGAAAGGGCAUAUUUUGGUGGAGAGGUGGUGGUGAAAGCUUGAUUGGCCUGGGCUCUAAAGAUUCAUUCAUCUCUGUUGCUCCAUGAAGUGAAACAAAACAAGAGCAUCAGCAACCUCCAGUCAGGGCUGAUGAUACCCCGUCCUGCCUGUAUUAUCUCCCCUAACAUCCUCUCGGGAAUUUUCUACACAUGCCUUAGUUGAUGGACAUACGGACCAAGUUCCAACUAUGUCACCAAAUUUUGGGAUUGUAGCGGUUAUUGCAAGUGUUUAAAAUUAAAGCCUCAGCCUUUAGGUAGGACCAUACACGGUUUAAAUAGGAAGGUGCCCCUUACAGAUAAUUGCAACUGAGUCUCCCUAUUUUACAUAUUGGGAAGCUGAGGCUCAGAUCUGGGAGAUGACUCAUUGAAGGUCAUACAACCGCUCUGAGGCAUUGCCCCCUUUCUUCCUCCCAAAUGUACCUGGUGGAUGAGAACCUGUACUUUUAAAAAAGAUUACUGGGGGACAGAUCUCCUAUUUCUUUCAUUUCCUUCAG
ensembl:lncRNA